GACGAACGCUGGCGGCGUGGAUUAGGCAUGCAAGUCGAACGGUAUCAUCCUUUCGGGGGUGAGAGAGUGGCGAACUGGUGAGUAACACGUAGGUUAUCUACCCUCAAGACGGGGACAACCCAGGGAAACUUGGGCUAAUACCGGAUGUGAGCAACUUUUAGUUGUUUGAAAGGUGGCGUAAGCUGUCGCUUGGGGAUGAGCCUGCGUCCUAUUAGUUAGUUGGUGAGGUAACGGCUCACCUAGGCAAUGAUAGGUAGGCGGCCUUAACGGGUGGUCGCCCACACUGGGAUUGAGAUACGGCCCAGACUCCUACGGGAGGCAGCAGUCGAGAAUAGUCUACAAUGGUCGGAAGACUGAUAGUGCGACGCCGCGUGAACGAUGAAUCCCUUCGGGGUGUAAAGUUCUUUUAUAUGUGAGCAGUGCUUCUUAUAUUAACAGUAUGGGGAGAGAGAUAUUAACAUAUGAAUAAGCAACGGCUAACUCCGUAGCCAGCAGCCGCGGUAAUUAGUA
rnacentral:rRNA from 1 species